rnacentral:rRNA from 1 species
CCUACGGGUGGCUGCAGUGGGGAAUAUUGGACAAUGGGGGCAACCCUGAUCCAGCCAUGCCGCGUGUGUGAAGAAGGCCCUCGGGUUGUAAAGCACUUUCAGUGAGGAAGAACGCCUGGUGGUUAAUACCCAUCAGGAAAGACAUCACUCACAGAAGAAGCACCGGCUAACUCCGUGCCAGCAGCCGCGGUAAUACGGAGGGUGCGAGCGUUAAUCGGAAUUACUGGGCGUAAAGCGCGCGUAGGUGGCUUGAUAAGCCGGUUGUGAAAGCCCCGGGCUCAACCUGGGAACGGCAUCCGGAACUGUCAAGCUAGAGUGCAGGAGAGGAAGGUAGAAUUCCCGGUGUAGCGGUGAAAUGCGUAGAGAUCGGGAGGAAUACCAGUGGCGAAGGCGGCCUUCUGGACUGACACUGACACCGAGGUGCGAAAGCGUGGGUAGCAAACAGGAUUAGAUACCCUAGUAGUC